UUAGAUGUCCGGGGCCGCACGCGCGCUACACUGAAGGAAUCAGCGUGUGCUUCCCCGGUCCGAGAGGACCGGGUAACCCGUUGAACCUCCUUCGUGAUAGGGAUAGGAGCUUGUAAUUAUUCUCCUUGAACGAGGAAUGCCCAGUAAGCACGAGUCAUUAGCUCGUGUUGAUUACGUCCCUGCCCUUUGUACACACCGCCCGUCGCUACUACCGAUUGAAUGAUUUAGUGAGGUCUUCGGACUGGCGCUCGUGGCGGCUUUCGGGCCGAUGCGGCGUGCCGGAAAGAUGACCGAACUUGGUCAUUUAGAGGAAGUAAAAGUCGUAACAAGGUUACC
rnacentral:rRNA from 1 species